rnacentral:lncRNA from 1 species
ACCGAAGCUAGGGUUGAAUCGGGAUGUGGACAUGAAGCUAGGGUUAGGUUGAACCGGUGUGGACUGAGCUAGGGUUAGGGUUGAACCGGGAUGUGGACUGAAGCAGGUUAGGGUUGAACCGGGAGUGGACAUGAAGCUAGGGUUAGGGUUGAACCGGGAUGUGGACAUGAGCUAGGGUUAGUGUUGAACCGAUGUGGACUGGCUAGGGUCAGGGUUAGGGUUGAACCGGGAUGUGGACAUGAAGCUAGGGUCAGGGUUAGUGUUGAACCGGGAUGUGGACAUGAAGCUAGGGUUAGGGUUGAACCGGGAUGUGGACAUGAAGCUAGGGUUAGGGUUGCAACUAGGUUUAGAGUUGUGAUUGAUGCUAGGGUUGGGUUGAACCGGGAUGUGGACAUGAAGCUAUGGUUAGGGUUGAACCGGGAGUGGGACACGAGCUGGGUCAAAUCGGGAUGUGGACAUGAAGCUAGGGUUAGGGUUGAACCGGGAUGUGGAAAUGAAGCUCGGUUUAGGGUUGAACCGGGAUGUGGACAUGAAGUGGGUUAGG